CAGAGUUGCAAAACUCCCUAAACCAUUGUGAACCUACCCCUAAACAGUUGCUUCGGCGGCGCCCGGACAGGCCCGCCGGAGACCACUAAACUCUUGUUUUUUAGCACUGGCCUCUCUGAGUUACUGCACUGUAAUAAGUCA
rnacentral:misc_RNA from 1 species